AGGACGAACGCUGGCGGCGUGCUUAACACAUGCAAGUCGAGCGACGCUCCUCCUUCGGGAGGAUGACGGAGCGGCGAACGGGUGAGUAACACGUGGGCAACCUGCCCCUAGCUCUGGGAUAACCCCGGGAAAUCGGGACUAAUACCGGAUAUGAAGUCGGACGGCAUCGUCUGACUUGGAAAGUUUUUCGGCUAGGGAUGGGCCCGCGGCCUAUCAGCUUGUUGGUGGGGUAAUGGCCUACCAAGGCGACGACGGGUAGCCGGCCUGAGAGGGCGACCGGCCACACUGGGACUGAGACACGGCCCAGACUCCUACGGGAGGCAGCAGUGGGGAAUAUUGCACAAUGGGCGAAAGCCUGAUGCAGCGACGCCGCGUGAGGGAUGACUGCCUUCGGGUUGUAAACCUCUUCAGCAGGGACGAAGCGAAAGUGACGGUACUGCAGAAGAGCACCGGCAACUACGCGCCAGCAGCCGCGGUAA
rnacentral:rRNA from 1 species